rnacentral:rRNA from 1 species
UAUCAGCACCCCGAGUGGUCGGGACGUUUAUUGGGCCUAAAGCAUCCGUAGCCGGUUCUACAAGUCUUCCGUUAAAUCCAGCUGCUUAACAGAUGGGCUGCGGAAGAUACUAUGGAGCUAGGAGGCGGGAGAGGCAAGCGGUACUCGAUGGGUAGGGGUAAAAUCCGUUGAUCCAUUGAAGACCACCAGUGGCGAAGGCGGCUUGCCAGAACGCGCUCGACGGUGAGGGAUGAAAGCUGGGGGAGCAAACCGG